GAGCGUCAGGAAGAGUCUAAAGAUUAGAUUGCAAGAAAAGAAAACAGAAGCCAUGUUUUGGAGACCUGUAUUACGGGCACUUUGGCAGUUUAUAAGACAUGAGUCCGACAUAGCUAGCACUUUGGUUCUUGAGAGAUCCCUGAAUCAUGGGCAAUUACUUGGGGAAGUAGGUCAGGACCCUGUCAUGAGACAGGUGGAAGGAAAAAAUCCAGUCACAAUAUUUUCUCUAGCAACAAAUGAGAUGUGGUCAUCAGGGGACAGUGAAGUACACCAAAUGGGUGAUGUCAGUCAAAAGACAACAUGGCACAGAAUAUCAGUUUUCCAGCCAGGCCUCAGAGAUGUGGCGUAUCAGUAUGUGGAAAAAGAGGUCUCGAAUUUAUGUGGAAGAGAAAGUAGACUACGGUGAAUACGUGGAUAAAAAUAAUGUGAGGCAAGAAGCAACAACGAUUACAGCUGAUGAUAUUGUAUUUCUGAGUGACCAGGCAAAAGAGAAGGAUGAUUCUUCUUUGGCCACUGUUUGCUCUACCACCUUCAGCUGA